AUCUACCUGACGAGUCCUAAAUAGGACGAAACGCAUGUCUUGGAU
rnacentral:hammerhead_ribozyme from 1 species